UGGUGGGUCAGUAGUAGAAUUCUCGCCUUCCAUGCAGGAGACCUGGGUUCGAUUCCCAGCCA
rnacentral:tRNA from 1 species